UUUUUAAGCAAAAUGACUGUUGGUCUCUACUAUGUCGCUGAGCUGUGAGGAGCUGGAAUCAUUGCCAAGAGAGAAAGCGCUCCGUGGGAGGAACAGAGGGAGAGAAAGAGAGAGAGAGUCUCAAGCAGACUCUGCACAAGCUUGGAGCCUGAUGCAGGGCUUGAUCUCACCACCCUGAGACCAUGACCUGAACUGAGAGCCAAAUGCUUAACCGACUGAGCCACCCGGACGCCCCUGCAUGCAUUCCCUCCUGCUUCCCAAACCAGCACAUGCACUAGGUAGUGUGACUGCAUUUUACAGAUAAGCACGCAGAGUCUCCGAGACAGGAUGUCACAGAGCUGGGAGUCCACUCUACUCUGCCACUCCUCAAAGCUAGCCUUUCUCUAGUUCCU
rnacentral:lncRNA from 1 species